UACAGAGGUCUCAAGCGUUGUUCGGAUUCAUUGGGCGUAAAGGGCGCGUAGGUGGCGCCGUAAGUCAGGUGUGAAAUUUCGGAGCUUAACUCCGAAACUGCAUUUGAUACUGCGGUGCUUGAGGACUGGAGAGGAGACUGGAAUUUACGGUGUAGCAGUGAAAUGCGUAGAGAUCGUAAGGAAGACCAGUGGCGAAGGCGGGUCUCGUGGACAGUUCCUGACACUGAGGCACGAAGGCCAGGGGAGCAAACGGG
rnacentral:rRNA from 1 species